GAUGAACGCUGGCGGCGUGCCUAAUACAUGCAAGUCGAGCGAACAGACGAGGAGCUUGCUCCUCUGACGUUAGCGGCGGACGGGUGAGUAACACGUGGAUAACCUACCUAUAAGACUGGGAUAACUUCGGGAAACCGGAGCUAAUAACGGAUAAUAUAUUGAACCGCAUGGUUCAAUAGUGAAAGACGGUUUUGCUGUCACUUAUAGAUGGAUCCGCGCCGCAUUAGUUAGUUGGUAAGGUAACGGCUUACCAAGGCAACGAGGCGUAGCCGACCUGAGAGGGUGAUCUGCCACACUGGAACUGAGACACGGUCCAGACUCCUACGGGAGGCAGCAGUAGGGAAUCUUCCGCAAUGGGCGAAAGCCUGACGGAGCAACGCCGCGUGAGUGAUGAAGGUCUUCGGAUCGUAAAACUCUGUUAUUAGGGAAGAACAAAUGUGUAAGUAACUAUGCACGUCUUGACGGUACCUAAUCAGAAAGCCACGGCUAACUACGUGCCAGCCGCCGCCGUAA
rnacentral:rRNA from 1 species